AUGGCUUGGUGGAAAUUAUGUGUGCCGAAGAGCAAAGGAGGUAUGGGAUUUAGUGAUCAUUGUUUUAAAUUGGCAUUACUAGCUAAGCAAGUUUGGAGGUUAAUUGAGAACCCAUACUCAUUAUGUGUGCCAGUUCUUAAGGCCAAAUAUUCCCCACUUGAUGACUUGCUUAAUGCCACAUUAAAGAAAGGUGCUUCUUUUACAUGGCAGAGUAUAAUGGCAAGUGGAACACACUUAAAUAUGGAUGCAUUUGGAGAGUUGAGAAUGGACAGAAAAUAA
rnacentral:rRNA from 1 species